rnacentral:miRNA from 1 species
CCUUCCACUGGACCUGGGGCUGGGC